AUUGAACGCUGGCGGCAUGCUUUACACAUGCAAGUCGGACGGCAGCGGGGUAGUGCUUGCACUACUGCCGGCGAGUGGCGAACGGGUGAGUAAUAUAUUGGAACGUACCGAGUAAUGGGGGAUAACCAAUCGAAAGAUUGGCUAAUACCGCAUACGCUCUGAGGAGGAAAGCAGGGGACCUUCGGGCCUUGCGUUAUUCGAGCGGCCAAUAUCUGAUUAGCUAGUUGGUGGGGUAAGGGCCUACCAAGGCGACGAUCAGUAGCGGGUCUGAGAGGAUGAUCCGCCACACUGGGACUGAGACACGGCCCAGACUCCUACGGGAGGCAGCAGUGGGGAAUUUUGGACAAUGGGCGCAAGCCUGAUCCAGCCAUGCCGCGUGGCUGAAGAAGGCCUUCGGGUUGUAAAGGACUUUUGUUAGGGAAGAAAAAGGAGCGGUUAAUACCCGUUUCUGCUGACGGGACCUAAAGAAUAAGCACCGGCGAACUACGU
rnacentral:rRNA from 1 species